CAUUGGCAGAGACAACACAGACAGAGUUGAGGCAUCUGGAGUGUAAGAGACCUGUAACCUCUCUGCUCUCAGCUGCGGCCUGUUGCUGGAUUGCCUGCGACUUCUGGCUUUCUGCUGACGAGAGCAAGUGGCCAACAGCUAGGGCAAGAUGAAGCUCUCUCUGGUGGCCGCAGUUCUCUGCUG
rnacentral:other from 1 species